AGCCAUAGCUAAUUGCAUCAUCUGUGAUGGGGCAAUUGUAUUAUGCGAUCCAAAUGACACGUAUAGAACUGAAUUUACUGGCUUUCUAUCUGGCCAUUUCUUGCAAAGCUCUGUCGAAACUAUUCUGGCUUCUUUGCCAGAACGAGCUCGGUUUUUCGUUGGUAGUAGAACUAUUGCCCAAGCGGCUGGCGUAGUUUUCGCCGGAAGUAGGACAAACCAAUCUGAUCAAACUCC
rnacentral:misc_RNA from 1 species